rnacentral:rRNA from 1 species
GACGAACGCUGGCGGCGUGCUUAACACAUGCAAGUCGAACGGAAAGGCUCCAGCUUGCUGGAGUACUCGAGUGGCGAACGGGUGAGUAACACGUGGGUAAUCUGCCCUGCACUCUGGGAUAAGCUUGGGAAACUGGGUCUAAUACUGGAUAUGACCUUUCUCCUUAUGGGGUGUGGUGGAAAGUUUUUCGGUGUAGGAUGAGCGCGCGGCCUAUCAGCUUGUUGGUGGGGUGAUGGCCUACCAAGGCGACGACGGGUAGCCGGCCUGAGAGGGUGAUCGGCCACAUUGGGACUGAGAUACGGCCCAGACUCCUACGGGAGGCAGCAGUGGGGAAUAUUGCACAAUGGGCGGAAGCCUGAUGCAGCGACGCCGCGUGAGGGAUGACGGCCUUCGGGUUGUAAACCUCUUUCGGCAGGGACGAAGCGUAAGUGACGGUACCUGCAGAAGAAGCACCGGCUAACUAUGUG